GAGCUGGGUUUGCAAAGCAUUGUGGGUCUGUCGACAAGACAGGCACGAGGGUCUGAGAAUACAAUCAACCAUGUCCGUUUGACCAAGUUUAAUCCGGUUAGGUCGAGUUAGGUCUGGUUUAAUCCAGUCAGGUCCAGUUGGUAAAGCAUGUUAGGUCCCGGGCAGAGAGGGUUAGACUGGGGGGAUGAGGGGCAGAGAGGGUUAGACUGGGGGAUGAGGGGCAGAGAGGGUUAGACUGGGGGUUGAGGGGCAGAGAGGGUUAGACUGGGGGAUGAGGGGCAGAGAGGGUUAGACUGGGGGAUGAGGGGCAGAGAGGGUUAGACUUGGGGAUGAGGGGCAGAGAGGGUUAGACUGGGGGAUGAGGGGCAGAGAGGGUUAGACUGGGGGAUGAGGGGCAGAGAGGGUUAGACUGGGGGAUGAGGGGCAGAGAGGGUUAGACUGGGGGAUGA